CGGUUAAGUUAGAAAGGGCGCACGGUGGAUGCCUUGGCACUAGGAGCCGAUGAAGGACGGGACGAACACCGAUAUGCUUCGGGGAGCUGUAAGCAAGCUUUGAUCCGGAGAUUUCCGAAUGGGGAAACCCACCACUCGUAAUGGAGUGGUAUCCAUAUCUGAAUACAUAGGAUAUGAGAAGGCAGACCCGGGGAACUGAAACAUCUAAGUACCCGGAGGAAGAGAAAGCAAAUGCGAUUCCCUGAGUAGCGGCGAGCGAAACGGGACCAGCCCAAACCAAGAGGCUUGCCUCUUGGGGUUGUAGGACACUCUGUACGGAGUUACAAAGGAACGAGGUAGAUGAAGAGGUCUGGAAAGGCCCGCCAUAGAAGGUAACAGCCCUGUAGUCAAAACUUCGUUCUCUCCUGAGUGGAUCCUGAGUACGGCGGAACACGUGAAAUUCCGUCGGAAUCCGGGAGGACCAUCUCCCAAGGCUAAAUACUCCCUAGUGACCGAUAGUGAACCAGUACCGUGAGGGAAAGGUGAAAAGCACCCCGGAAGGGGAGUGAAAGAGAUCCUGAAACCGUGUGCCUACAAGUAGUCAGAGCCCGUUAACGGGUGAUGGCGUGCCUUUUGUAGAAUGAACCGGCGAGUUACGAUCCCGUGCAAGGUUAAGCAGAAGAUGCGGAGCCGCAGCGAAAGCGAGUCUGAAUAGGGCGAAUUGAGUACGUGGUCGUAGACCCGAAACCAGGUGAUCUACCCAUGUCCAGGGUGAAGUUCAGGUAACACUGAAUGGAGGCCCGAACCCACGCACGUUGAAAAGUGCGGGGAUGAGGUGUGGGUAGGGGUGAAAUGCCAAUCGAACCUGGAGAUAGCUGGUUCUCUCCGAAAUAGCUUUAGGGCUAGCCUCAAGGUAAGAGUCUCGGAGGUAGAGCACUGAUUGGACUAGGGGCCCCUACCGGGUUACCGAAUUCAGUCAAACUCCGAAUGCCGAUGACUUAUCCUUGGGAGUCAGACUGCGAGUGAUAAGAUCCGUAGUCGAAAGGGAAACAGCCCAGACCGCCAGCUAAGGUCCCAAAGUAUACGUUAAGUGGAAAAGGAUGUGGAGUUGCUUAGACAACCAGGAUGUUGGCUUAGAAGCAGCCACCAUUUAAAGAGUGCGUAAUAGCUCACUGGUCGAGUGACUCUGCGCCGAAAAUGUACCGGGGCUAAACGUAUCACCGAAGCUGCGGACUGUUCUUCGAACAGUGGUAGGAGAGCGUUCUAAGGGCUGUGAAGCAAGACCGGAAGGACUUGUGGAGCGCUUAGAAGUGAGAAUGCCGGUAUGAGUAGCGAAAGAGGGGUGAGAAUCCCCUCCACCGAAUGCCUAAGGUUUCCUGAGGAAGGCUCGUCCGCUCAGGGUUAGUCGGGACCUAAGCCGAGGCCGAAAGGCGUAGGCGAUGGAUAACAGGUUGAUAUUCCUGUACCACCUCCUCACCAUUUGAGCAAUGGGGGACGCAGGAGGAUAGGGUAAGCGCGGUAUUGGAUAUCCGCGUCCAAGCAGUUAGGCUGGGAAAUAGGCAAAUCCGUUUCCCGUGAAGGCUGAGCUGUGAUGGCGAGCGAAUUAUAGUAGCGAAGUUCCUGAUUCCACACUGCCAAGAAAAGCCUCUAGCGAGGUGAGAGGUGCCCGUACCGCAAACCGACACAGGUAGGCGAGGAGAGAAUCCUAAGGUGAUCGAGAGAACUCUCGUUAAGGAACUCGGCAAAAUGACCCCGUAACUUCGGGAGAAGGGUGCUCUGUUAGGGUGCAAGCCCGAGAGAGCCGCAGUGAAUAGGCCCAGGCGACUGUUUAGCAAAAACACAGGUCUCUGCGAAGCCGUAAGGCGAAGUAUAGGGGCUGACGCCUGCCCGGUGCUGGAAGGUUAAGAGGAGCGCUUAGCGUAAGCGAAGGUGCGAAUUGAAGCCCCAGUAAACGGCGGCCGUAACUAUAACGGUCCUAAGGUAGCGAAAUUCCUUGUCGGGUAAGUUCCGACCCGCACGAAAGGCGCAACGAUCUGGGCACUGUCUCAACGAGAGACUCGGUGAAAUUAUAGUACCUGUGAAGAUGCAGGUUACCCGCGACAGGACGGAAAGACCCCGUGGAGCUUUACUGCAGCCUGAUAUUGAAUGUUGGUACAGCUUGUACAGGAUAGGUAGGAGCCUUGGAAACCGGAGCGCCAGCUUCGGUGGAGGCAUCGGUGGGAUACUACCCUGGCUGUAUUGACCUUCUAACCCGCCGCCCUUAUCGGGCGGGGAGACAGUGUCAGGUGGGCAGUUUGACUGGGGCGGUCGCCUCCUAAAAGGUAACGGAGGCGCCCAAAGGUUCCCUCAGAAUGGUUGGAAAUCAUUCGCAGAGUGUAAAGGCACAAGGGAGCUUGACUGCGAGACCUACAAGUCGAGCAGGGACGAAAGUCGGGCUUAGUGAUCCGGUGGUUCCGCAUGGAAGGGCCAUCGCUCAACGGAUAAAAGCUACCCCGGGGAUAACAGGCUUAUCUCCCCCAAGAGUCCACAUCGACGGGAGGUUUGGCACCUCGAUGUCGGCUCAUCGCAUCCUGGGGCUGUAGUCGGUCCCAAGGGUUGGGCUGUUCGCCCAUUAAAGCGGUACGCGAGCUGGGUUCAGAACGUCGUGAGACAGUUCGGUCCCUAUCCGUCGCGGGCGCAGGAAAUUUGAGAGGAGCUGUCCUUAGUACGAGAGGACCGGGAUGGACGCACCGCUGGUGUACCAGUUGUUCUGCCAAGGGCAUCGCUGGGUAGCUAUGUGCGGACGGGAUAAGUGCUGAAAGCAUCUAAGCAUGAAGCCCCCCUCAAGAUGAGAUUUCCCAUUCCGCAAGGAAGUAAGAUCCCUGAAAGAUGAUCAGGUUGAUAGGUCUGAGGUGGAAGUGUGGCGACACAUGGAGCUGACAGAUACUAAUCGAUCGAGGACUUAACCAAUUU
rnacentral:rRNA from 1 species